CAGUCGCCGCGGUAAUGCGAAGGGUGCAAGCGUUAAUCGGAAUUACUGGGCGUAAAGCGUGCGUAGGCGGUUUGUUAAGUCUGUUGUGAGAUCCCCGGGCUCAACCUGGGAAUGGCAAUGGAUACUGGCAAGCUAGAGUGUGUCAGAGGAUGGUGGAAUUCCCGGUGUAGCGGUGAAAUGCGUAGAGAUCGGGAGGAACAUCAGUGGCGAAGGCGGCCAUCUGGGACAACACUGACGCUGAGGCACGAAAGCGUGGGGAGCAAACAGGAUUAGAUACCCCCGUAGUCCCUGUCUCUUAUAA
rnacentral:rRNA from 1 species